AACUUACCUAUAACGUUGCUUCGGCGGGAAACCGACGGCCCCGUAAGACGGGCCGCCCCCGCCAGAGGACCCCCUAACUCUUGUUAUAUCCUGCUUCUCUGAGUACAACAAGCAAAUAAAUUAAAACUUUCAACAACGGAUCUCUUGGCUCUGGCAUCGAUGAAGAACGCAGCGAAACGCGAUAAGUAAUGUGAAUUGCAGAAUUUAGUGAAUCAUCGAAUCUUUGAACGCACAUUGCGCCCGCCAGUAUUCUGGCGGGCAUGCCUGUCCGAGCGUCAUUACAACCCUCAGGCCCCCGGGCCUGGUGUUGGGGAUCGGCGGAGCCCUCCGGGGCACACGCCGUCCCCCAAAUUCAGUGGCGGUCUCGCUGCAGCCUCCAUUGCGUAGUAGCUAACACCUCGCAACUGGAAGGCGGCGCGGCCACGCCGUAAAACCCCCCAACUUCUGAA
rnacentral:misc_RNA from 1 species